rnacentral:rRNA from 1 species
AUUCGAGUGAGUAUAAGCUCGUAGUUGGAUUUCGGGUGGGCGUUAGCGGUCCGGCUCUGCUGUGUACUGCUAGUGCCUAUCUUUCUGUCGGGGACGGGCUCUUGGGCUUCAUUGUCCGGGACUCGGAGUCGACGUGGUUACUUUGAGUAAAUUAGAGUGUUCAAAGCAAGCGUUCGCUGUGAAUACAUUAGCAUGGAAUAACACGAUAGGACUCUGGCUUAUCUUGUUGGUCUGUAAGACCGGAGUAAUGAUUAAGAGGGACAGUCGGGGGCAUUCGUAUUUCAUUGUCAGAGGUGAAAUUCUUGGAUUUAUGAAAGACGAACUUCUGCGAAAGCAUUUA